CGCAUUAAGCGUCCCGCCUGGGGAGUACGACCGCAAGGUUAAAACUCAAAGGAACUGACCGGGGGCCCGCACAAGCAGCGGAGCAUGCGGCUUAAUUCGAUGCAACGCGAAGAACCUUACCUAGGCUUGACAUGCAUUGAAAACUGUUAGAGAUAACAGGUCCGCAAGGGCUUUGCACAGGUGGUGCAUGGCUGUCGUCAGCUCGUGUCGUGAGAUGUUGGGUUAAGUCCCGCAACGAGCGCAACCCUCGUCUUGUGUUGCCAACAGGUAAUGCUGGGAACUCACAAGAGACUGCCGGGGUCAACUCGGAGGAAGGUGGGGACGACGUCAAGUCAUCAUGCCCCUUAUGUCUAGGGCUGCACGCAUGCUACAAUGGCCGAUACAAAGGGCUGCGAUACCGCAAGGUGGAGCGAAUCCCAUAAAGUCGGUCUCAGUUCGGAUUGAGGUCUGCAACUCGACCUCAUGAAGUUGGAGUUGCUAGUAAUCGCGGAUCAGCAACGCCGCGGUGAAUACGUUCCCGGGCCUUGUACACACCGCCCGUCACGUCACGAAAGUCGGUAACACCCAAAACCAGUGUUCCAACCGUAAGGGGGAAGCUG
rnacentral:rRNA from 1 species